UACGUAGGGUACGAGCGUUGUCCGGAAUUACUGGGCGUAAAGAGCUCGUAGGUGGUUUGUCGCGUUGUUCGUGAAAACCGGGGGCUUAACCCUCGGCGUGCGGGCGAUACGGGCAGACUUGAGUACUGCAGGGGAGACUGGAAUUCCUGGUGUAGCGGUGGAAUGCGCAGAUAUCAGGAGGAACACCGGUGGCGAAGGCGGGUCUCUGGGCCGUAACUGACGCUGAGGAGCGAAAGCGUGGGGAGCGAACAGG
rnacentral:rRNA from 1 species